GCUCAGAUGAACGCGGCGGCAUGCUUACACNUGCAAGUCGAACGGCAGCACGGGUGCUGCACUGGUGGCGAGUGGCGAACGGGUGAGUAAUACAUCGGAACAUGUCCUGUAGUGGGGGAUAGCCCGGCGAAAGCCGGAUUAAUACCGCAUACGAUCUAUGGAUGAAAGCGGGGGACCUUCGGGCCUCGCGCUAUAGGGUUGGCCGAUGGCUGAUAGCUAGUUGGUGGGGUAAAGGCCUACCAGGCGACGAUCAGUAGCUGGUCUGAGAGGACGACCAGCCACACUGGGACUGAGACACGGCCCAGACUCCUACGGGAGGCAGCAGUGGGGAAUUUUGGACAAUGGGCGAAAGCCUGAUCCAGCAAUGCCGCGUGUGUGAAGAAGGCCUUCGGGUUGUAAAGCACUUUUGUCCGGAAAGAAAUCCUUGGCUCUAAUACAGUCGGGGGAUGACGGUACCGGAAGAAUAAGCACCGGCUAACUACGUGCCAGCAGCCGCGGUAAUACGUAGGGUGCAAGCGUUAAUCGGAAUUACUGGGCGUAAAGCGUGCGCAGGCGGUUUGCUAAGACCGAUGUGAAAUCCCCGGGCUCAACCUGGGAACUGCAUUGGUGACUGGCAGGCUAGAGUAUGGCAGAGGGGGGUAGAAUUCCACGUGUAGCAGUGAAAUGCGUAGAGAUGUGGAGGAAUACCGAUGGCGAAGGCAGCCCCCUGGGCCAAUACUGACGCUCAUGCACGAAAGCGUGGGGAGCAAACAGGAUUAGAUACCCUGGUAGUCCACGCCCUAAACGAUGUCAACUAGUUGUUGGGGAUUCAUUUCCUUAGUAACGUAGCUAACGCGUGAAGUUGACCGCCUGGGGAGUACGGUCGCAAGAUUAAAACUCAAAGGAAUUGACGGGGACCCGCACAAGCGGUGGAUGAUGUGGAUUAAUUCGAUGCAACGCGAAAAACCUUACCUACCCUUGACAUGGUCGGAAUCCUGAAGAGAUUCGGGAGUGCUCGAAAGAGAACCGGC
rnacentral:rRNA from 1 species